UAACACUGGAUCUUGAUUCUGGAUCUUGAUUUUGAAUAUUGACUCUUUUUUAUGCUUGAGUUCUUGAUCUUAGUUUUGGCUUCUUGAUCCAUACUUUUGAUUCUUAAAUUCAUUCGUCUUGAUUCUUGAUUGUAGAUUGUCCAUUUUUGGUUGUGAAUUUUUGGAUCUUCCUCUUCAAUAAAUAUAUAUUUUUUGUAUUAUUGUGUUGAUAGGAUGACAC
rnacentral:lncRNA from 1 species